rnacentral:lncRNA from 13 species
UUGAUGGACAUGAUGUUUAUUAAUACAUUUAUUCACAAUGGCGCAUUCGUUCAGCCGGUUUGUGUUCCAUCUCCAACUGCUGAUUCAUGUCUGGACAUAUAGAUACUGUAAAUAUACCGAAGGAGGUUUUAAUGACUCCAACCUAAGUGUAAGUAAGCUUCAGACAUCAACUGUAUACGGUUUUAAAGGAAUAAAAAUUCAUGAAAUAUGCUGUCUAGGUGCAGUCAGACAAUAUUCAUGUCUUGGCGGCUAUCAGAGACUCACUUGGACUCUUCCUUUGAGGAUGCUGAGAUCUCUAUACAUGGAUACAAUAUGUUCAGGAGGGACAUAAAUAGAUCUGGGGGUUGGAGUUGGAGUUUACAUCCAGGAUCAUAUUCCAGCUAAACAACAUAAGGACUUAAUGUUGACUGGAUUAGAGACACUGUGGGUACAGCUGCUAUAGGCUCUAUGGGUACAGCUGCUAUAGUCUCUAUGGGUACAGCUGCUAUAGGCUCUAUGGGUACAGCUGCUAUAGGCUCUAUGGGUACAGCUAUAGGCUCUAUUUGUACAGCUAUAGUCUCUAUGGGUACAGCUAUAGUCUCUAUGGGUACAGCUGCUAUAGGCUCUAUGGGUACAGCUGCAAUAGACUCUAUGGGUACAGCUGCUAUAGUCUCUAUGGGUACAGCUGCUAUAGUCUCUAUGGGUACAGCUGCUAUAGUCUCUAUGGGUACAGUUGCUAUAGUCUCUAUGGGUACAGCUGCUAUAGUCUCUAUGGGUACAACUGCUAUAGGCUCUAUGGGUACAGCUGUACCACGUAUGAAACCUAUACUAGUUGGUUGCUGCUAUAAGCCACCUGGUGCGGAUGUGACAUAUCUUGAUGUAAUUUGUGAAAUGUUGGAUAUCUGAUGAAAGUAGGGAUAUAUAAAUAUAUAUAUUUUUUGAACACCAACUGUCCAAUGAGAAAGAAAACAUAUUUCUGUUGCCAUGCAACCUGACCCAAUUAUGACAUCACCGACCAGAACGUUCCCUAAUAGGGUCUGGUAUUACAUCAUCAACUUGUAUCGAUCACAUUUUUACCAACGUGGCUGAACGGUGUUCCAAAGAUGCAUCAGUGGCACCAGGUUACAGUGAUCAUAACCUGGUUGAACUCACUAGGAACACUACAAUUACCAGAGGCCCUAAGGUAAUCUACCACAGGUCCUACAGAGGGUUCAAUCAGGACUCACUCACUAGGAACACUACAAUACCAGAGGCCCUAAGGUAAUCUACCACAGGUCCUACAGAGGGUUCAAUCAGGACUCACUCACUAAGACAACUACAAUACCUGGCCCUAAGGUAAUCUACCACAGGUCCUACAGAGGGUUCAAUAAGGACUCACUCACUAAGACAACUACAAUUACCAGAGGCCCUAAGGUAAUCUACCACAGGUCCUAUAGAGGGUUCAAUCAGGACUCACUCACUAGGAACACUACAAUACCUGGUCCUAAGGUAAUCUACCACAGGUCCUACAGAGGGUUCAAUCAGGACUCAUUUGUGGAUGAG